AUGUAUAUAAAUCUUCUGUACGUGCAUGUUCCCCACAGCGAGCUCAGACAUGUUUUUGCGCUCCUGAUUUUUAUGUGGUAUAUUAUGUGUACAUGUGCACGUUGCUUCUCCUUUGAUGAUGCACUCACUCUGGCUUCUAUUUUCAAAACCAUUUCUCUUGCCAGUCCUUCAAAGUCCCUCAAAAAGUCAGCGGAUUCUCGCCCUUUGGGUUUGCUUAGCCAUACUAUGAAGAUGCUCUGUUCAACUUGGCCUUUGUGUGAUGAACAUCAAAUCAUUGAUGCAUUUGUAUCUCCUUUGGCUGGAUACAGAGUUCCAUAUUCCGAGAAGAAGGGCUUAAAUGAUGUAUGUGAAUAA
rnacentral:rRNA from 1 species